rnacentral:lncRNA from 1 species
UUUCCUCUUUGUAGAUUAUCAAACAUCUUCGAAGAUGUAAGACUGAUUCCAUAACAAAUAUUUGCUCAAAGUAUGUCCAGGUAGAAUACAGUAUAUUUUCUCACGUGGAAGGGCACUAGAACUUUUCAUUAGUAAGGUAUAGAUCUGAUAACAUACUCUAUUCUUUCUCUUCGUGUAUUUCACAGAUUCAACGGACCAGACAACUAAUAGAUUUGAAGUUCCUAUGAAUUAAAAAAACUCAAAAGCAAGGAGAUGACGGAUGAAAUUGAUCUCCAAUAGAGCAGUAUCCAUGAAAAUCAAAGAAACUGCUUACUCAAACCUCUUCUCAAGUUAUAUUAUAGUAAUCAUUCUGUUAUAGCAUUAUGUGCUUUGUAGGUAAUGAAUGGAGUAUGUUGUCAAAUUUAGUAUGUUAUCAAAUUUAGUGUAAAUAUGUAUUAUUCUGAAGAGUUGAUACUUGAUACUUCCUGAU